rnacentral:rRNA from 11 species
GCAAAAGAAGGGCGUAUGGGGGAUGCCUAGGCUCUCAGAGGCGAUGAAGGACGCGAUAAGCUGCGAAAAUCCACGGGGAGCUGCACAUGAGCAUUGAUCCGUGGGUGUCCGAAUGGGGCAACCCGGCAGGUUGAAGGCCUGUCACCCAGCAAUGGGGGCGAACCCGCCGAACUGAAACAUCUAAGUAGGCGGAGGAAGAGAAAACAAGAGUGAUUCCGAGAGUAGUGGCGAGCGAAAUCGGAACAGCCCAAACCGUUGUUGUUUAGGCAAUGACGGGGUUGUAGGACCACAAUAUUCUUUGCGCGACGAACCGGAAGCAGUUGGAAAGCUGCACGAUAUGGGUGACAGUCCCGUACGGGCAAGGAGCGUUAAAGAUAGUGGUAUCCUGAGUAGCGCGGGGCACGUGAAACCCUGUGUGAAUCCGGCGGGACCAUCCGCCAAGGCUAAAUACUCCUGGGAGACCGAUAGUGAACCAGUACCGUGAGGGAAAGGUGAAAAGAACCGUGAACAACGGAGUGAAAUAGACCCUGAAACCAUACGCCUACAAGCGGUCGGAGCCAGUUUACUGGUGACGGCGUGCCUUUUGCAUAAUGAGCCUACGAGUUACUUUUACCGGCAAGGUUAAGCACCUCAGGUGCGCAGCCGUAGCGAAAGCGAGUCUGAACAGGGCGUUUUAGUCGGUAGUAGUAGACGCGAAACCGUGCGAUCUACCCAUGGGCAGGUUGAAGCUGUGGUAACACAUAGUGGAGGACCGAACCCGUUGACGUUGAAAAGUCUUGGGAUGAC